rnacentral:rRNA from 1 species
CAGCCGCCGCGGUAAUACGAGGGGGGCAAGCGUUGUUCGGAAUUACUGGGCGUAAAGCGCACGUAGGCGGCUUGGUAAGUUAGAGGUGAAAGCCUGGAGCUCAACUCCAGAAUUGCCUUUAAGACUGCCGAGCUAGCAGGUGAGAGAGGUAAGUGGAAUUCCGAGUGUAGAGGUGAAAUUCGUAGAUAUUCGGAAGAACACCAGUGGCGAAGGCGGCUUACUGGCUCAUACUGGACGCUGAGGUGCGAAAGCGUGGGGAGCAAACAGGAUUAGAUACCCCGGUAGUCCCUGUCUCUUAUAC